CUGGCGGUAUCUUAACACAUGCAAGUCGAACGGGAUGCUUAGGCAUCUAGUGGCGGACGGGUGAGUAACGCGUGAGAAUCUGGCUCCAGGUCGGGGAUAACAGUUGGAAACGACUGCUAAUACCGGAUGUGCCGAGAGGUGAAAGAUUUAUUGCCUGGAGAUGAGCUCGCGUCUGAUUAGCUAGUUGGUGGUGUAAGGGACCACCAAGGCAUCGAUCAGUAGCUGGUCUGAGAGGAUGAUCAGCCACACUGGGACUGAGACACGGCCCAGACUCCUACGGGAGGCAGCAGUGGGGAAUUUUCCGCAAUGGGCGAAAGCCUGACGGAGCAAUACCGCGUGAGGGAGGAAGGCUCUUGGGUCGUAAACCUCUUUUCUCAAGGAAGAAGAAAGUGACGGUACUUGAGGAAUAAGCAUCGGCUAACUCCGUGCCAGCAGCCGCGGUAAUACGGAGGAUGCAAGCGUUAUCCGGAAUGAUUGGGCGUAAAGGGUCUGCAGGUGGAACUGAAAGUCUGCUGUUAAAGAGUUUGGCUUAACCAAAUAAAAGCGGUGGAAACUACAGAACUAGAGUGCGGUAGGGGCAAAAGGAAUUCCUGGUGUAGCGGUGAAAUGCGUAGAUAUCAGGAAGAACACCGGUGGCGAAAGCGUUUUGCUAGACCGUAACUGACACUGAGGGACGAAAGCUAGGGGAGCGAAUGGGAUUAGAUACCCCAGUAGUCCUAGCCGUAAACGAUGGAUACUAGGCGUGGCUUGUAUCGACCCGAGCCGUGCCGGAGCUAACGCGUUAAGUAUCCCGCCUGGGGAGUACGCACGCAAGUGUGAAACUUAAAGGAAUUGACGGGGGCCCGCACAAGCGGUGGAGUAUGUGGUUUAAUUCGAUGCAACGCGAAGAACCUUACCAAGACUUGACAUCCUGCGAAUCCUGGUGAAAGCUGGGAGUGCCUUAGGGAGCGCAGAGACAGGUGGUGCAUGGCUGUCGUCAGCUCGUGUCGUGAGAUGUUGGGUUAAGUCCCGCAACGAGCGCAACCCUCGUUUUUAGUUGCCAGCAUUAAGUUGGGCACUCUAGAGAGACUGCCGGUGACAAACCGGAGGAAGGUGAGGAUGACGUCAAGUCAGCAUGCCCCUUACGUCUUGGGCUACACACGUACUACAAUGCUACGGACAGAGGGCAGCGAGCCAGGGAUGGCAAGCGAAUCCAGAAACCGUAGCUCAGUUCAGAUCGAAGGCUGCAACUCGCCUUCGUGAAGGAGGAAUCGCUAGUAAUUGCAGGUCAGCAUACUGCAGUGAAUUCGUUCCCGGGCCUUGUACACCCGCCCGUCACACCAUGGAAGUUGGUCACGCCCGAAGUCAUUACCCCAACCGAAAGGAGGGGGAUGCCUAAGGUAGGACUGGUGACUGGGGU
rnacentral:rRNA from 1 species